GCCUGGGUGGCUCUGUCGGUUGAGCCUCUGACUUCGGCUCAGGUCAUGAUCUCACGGUCUGUGGGUUCGAGUCCCGCAUCGGGCU
rfam:Felis catus isolate Cinnamon breed Abyssinian chromosome B2, whole genome shotgun sequence.